rnacentral:lncRNA from 10 species
CUAGGAUGCUGGCAGCCCAGCCAGCUGGUCUGGCCCUGGACGUGCCUUCAGCUGCUUUCUGCUCCCUCUAUGGACCCUGCAUGGAAUUGCCCCAUGUUUCUGUUUGGGCACCACUGAGGAAGGAAGCAUGAAGGAUGCACAGGUCAGGCCAUUCUGUUGCCCACCUCGUGCUGGGUCUUUACUCCUGGGAUGGCUUCAGGGGCAGCUCCUUUUCCAUGC